rnacentral:rRNA from 1 species
GACGAACGCUGGCGGCGUGCUUAACACAUGCAAGUCGAACGGUGAAGCGCCUUCCUUUUUGGUGGGUGUGGAUGAGUGGCGAACGGGUGAGUAACACGUGAGUAACCUGCCCCCUUCUUCUGGAUAACCGCAUGAAAGUGUGGCUAAUACGGGAUAUUCUGGGUCUGUCGCAUGAUGGGUCUGGGAAAGAUAUUGUUUCGGUGGGGGAUGGGCUCGCGGCCUAUCAGCUUGUUGGUGGGGUGAUGGCCUACCAAGGCGGUGACGGGUAGCCGGCCUGGGAGGGUGGACGGUCACGCUGGGACUGAGACACGGCCCAGACUCCUACGGGAGGCAGCAGUGGGGAAUAUUGCACAAUGGGCGCAAGCCUGAUGCAGCGUCGCCGCGUGAGGGAUGGAGGCCUUCGGGUUGUGAACCUCUUUCGCCAGUGAAGCAGGCCUGCCUCGUUUGUGGGUGGGUUGACGGUAGCUGGAUAAGAAGCGCCGGCUAACUACGUG